GCCUGGAGCCUGUUUCAGAUUCUGUGUUUCCCUCUCUCUCUGCCCCUCCCCUGUUCAUGCUCUGUCUCUCUCUGUCUCAAAAAUAAAUAAACGUUAAAAAAAAAUGGAGAGAUGUUUCAAAGGGAUGAGUUAGGACAGAAGAGGGGUUUCCCAAGGUUAAGAGUUGCCCAGAGGAAGCUACAAAGUGGAGUCAGGGAUGGGAAUGCACAUGAUACCAUGGGGGAAGAGGUUGGGUGUGAUUUUAGAAUGAAUAGCAAUUUUGGUGGCUAUAGGCUCUAAUGAACAGAAGUAAGAGGUAGGUUAGGAGGUUCAUCUUAAUUUACAAUAAGGACUCUGGAUCAGACAUUCCUUUUUAUUUCCUCCCUUCUGGGUAAUACUACACUGGACCAGACAAAUUCACCAUUUCCCAAUUUAUUCAUUCAUCAAACACUCCCUGCUCUGUGCCAGAUCUUGGGUUAGAAACCGGGGAAACAAAGUGAGUCAUACACAUUCUCUGCCAUCAAGGAUUUUGUUUCUUGGGGAAAAACAUUCACAUAAACUCAAAAAUAAUAUGGAGUAGUAAGUACUGUGAGAGGCAGAAGCCAAGGGGCAGUGGAAGCAGAGAGGAGGAACCUGACCCAGCCUGGAGGCAGAGUAAGGAUAGGAGGAUAAGAGCUUCCAGAAGAAGGUAAUGUCAGCUGAGGGAUAAAGAGAAUUAGAUAUGUAAAGAAGAGAUAGUGUUAGAUUGUUGUAGAGAGACACAGGCAGGCUUGGGAGAUAACCUGGCAGAAAACCAAACUAAAAUAAAAAUAAAAACAAAAACCCCUCAGUUCACAAGCAGAGUUCAGUGAUGAUAAGACUGAGCAGAUAGUUCUCAGAUGUCUAGAUCAACAAGCACAUGGCAUUGGGAAGAUCUGGACUCUUGGCUGUGGUUCAAGAGAAGAGAGAAGAGAUUAUAGGACCCAAAGAAGAGAUUCUAGGCCCCAUUUAAAGGAAGCCAAGGUUUGAUGGCAGAAGCUUCUUAUAUUAUCUCAUUUACUCUUUACCAGAUUCACAAUCUGGUUUCCAGGGUUUGGGACCAAAACAGCAGUUAAGAAUAAGAUUCUGUUUUACUUCUGAUGGGUCAGACUUUGUGUAUUUCCCUCCCUUGGAGGCUUGGUGGGAAGGAAUGACUGAUCAUGGAGAAGAACUGGGAGAGAAAGGUAUGUCCUAGCACUAGAGUUACUACCCUUCCUUGUGAGGACUUCUUUGCUCCUUUCCCUCUGGCUCUAACAGGGACACUGUGGGCAGCUUUUUCUAGAAGCCAAGCUCAGGGCACUAAAGGAAUCAGAGGAGGACUUUCUUUCUAGAAAACUUGAGCCUCACAAGCUUGGGAUAAAAGAACUCACACUUCAGUUCAGUUCAUCUCAGGAGAGUUCUGCACUGAGAUUUGGAGCCAAAGUCCCAGCUGACCCAGAUCUCCCAUGGGUGCUAAAGUCUUCCCGUGGAUGACUGACCCUCUCAAGAAAGCUAUGAGCAGUCACAAAUCUGAUUUUUCAAAGGACAUAAGAAAGAGAAGAGAAAGUUAUAUUAUAUUCUGCCAGAACUUUCAGGGGGAAGAAAACAAAACCAUAAAAUAAAGUGGAAUGGAGUUUCCUCAAAACAU